AUGGCGUCUCCUCCAUCUUCCACCGUGAUCCAGAUGCCUCCAUCUCCACAUACCAACGGCGGCAUGCCGACGGCCCCGUCCACGCCCAAGGACGCCGGCGACAUGCCGACCACGGCGCCCGCAGCAGCUGCCGGACCAUCGUCCACGGCGACGGACAAGGUCAUGUGGAGCGCUGUGAACCUCGCGCAGCUCCUGCCUACAGGCACGGUGCUGGCGUACCAGGCGCUGUCCCCGUCCUUCACCAACCACGGCACGUGCGAGACCUCCAACCAGUGGCUCACCACGACACUCGUCGUCGUCCUCGCCAUCCUGUGCGUCCUCUUCUCCUUCACGGACAGCGUCCUCGGCCGCGACAAAAAGGUCUACUACUGCGUCGCCACGCCAAGCGGUUUCAACGUGUUCAACUUCUCCGAUGAAGAGGAGAAGCUGCAAUGGACUGCAGCUGAGUUCCGGAGGCUUCGCAUGCGGCCGCUGGACUUCAUCCAUGCCAUCUUCACGGCGCUCGUCUUCCUCAUUGUGGCGUUCAGCGACGUGGGCCUACAGAACUGUUUCUUCAGCAAAGCCAGCAAGAACGCUGGGGAGCUUUUGAAGAACCUGCCACUCGGCAUUGCCUUUCUGUCGAGUUUUGUGUUCAUGAUCUUUCCCACAAAAAGGAAGGGCAUCGGCUACACCGGCACUACCCCUCGCGAAAAGCUCACUUGA
rnacentral:rRNA from 1 species